GUAUUCUUGAAUCAAAACAGUGCAUAUACUAAAAUUGGAAUGAUACAGAGAAGAUUAGCAUGGCCCCUGCGCAUUCUGUUAAAAGAACAGCCAAAACCAUUACUU